UACAGAGGGUGCAAGCGUUAAUCGGAAUUACUGGGCGUAAAGCGCACGUAGGUGGCUGGGUAAGUUGGAUGUGAAAUCCCCCGGGCUUAACUUGGGAAUUGCAUUCAAGACUGCCUUGCUAGAGUGUGGAAGAGGGAAGCGGAAUUCCAGGUGUAGCGGUGAAAUGCGUAGAUAUCUGGAGGAACAUCAGUGGCGAAGGCGGCUUCCUGGUCCAACACUGACACUGAGGUGCGAAAGCGUGGGGAGCAAACAGG
rnacentral:rRNA from 1 species